GACGAACGCUGGCGGCGUGCUUAACACAUGCAAGUCGAACGGAAAGGCCCUGCUUUUGCGGGGUUCUCGAGUGGCGAACGGGUGUGUAACACGUGAGUAACCUGCCCUUGACUUUGGGGUACCUUAAGGAAACUGGGGUUCAUACCCGAUAUGAGCUCCCGCUUCCUGGUGGGGGUUGGAAAGAUUCGGCGGUUGGGGAUGGACUGGCGGCUUAUCCACUUGUUGGUGGGGUGGUGGCUUACCAAGGCUUUGCCGGGUAUCCGGCCUGGGCGGGUGGCCGGCCACGUUGGAACUGGGAUACGGCCCAGACCCGUACGGGAGGCAGCGGUGGAGAAGAUUGCACAAUGGGCGGAAGCCUGAUGCGGCAACGCCGCGUGCGGGAGGACGGCCUUCGGGUUGGAAACCGCUUUCGUCUGGGACGAAGCGUGAGUGACGGUAAUGGGUAAAGAAGCACCGGCUAACUACGUG
rnacentral:rRNA from 1 species